AUUGAACGCUGGCGGCAGGCCUAACACAUGCAAGUCGAGCGGAUGAAGGGAGCUUGCUCCUGGAUUCAGCGGCGGACGGGUGAGUAAUGCCUAGGAAUCUGCCUGGUAGUGGGGGAUAAUGUCCGGAAACGGGCGCUAAUACCGCAUACGUCCUGAGGGAGAAAGUGGGGGAUCUUCGGACCUCACGCUAUCAGAUGAGCCUAGGUCGGAUUAGCUAGUUGGUGGGGUAAAGGCCUACCAAGGCGACGAUCCGUAACUGGUCUGAGAGGAUGAUCAGUCGCACUGGAACUGAGACACGGUCCAGACUCCUACGGGAGGCAGCAGUGGGGAAUAUUGGACAAAGGGCGAAAGCCUGAUCCAGCCAUGCCGCGUGUGUGAAGAAGGUCUUCGGAUUGUAAAGCACUUUAAGUUGGGAGGAAGGGCAGUAAGUUAAUACCUUGCUGUUUUGACGUUACCAACAGAAUAAGCACCGGCUAACUUCGUG
rnacentral:rRNA from 1 species